UACAGAGGGUGCAAGCGUUAAUCGGAAUUACUGGGCGUAAAGCGUGCGUAGGUGGUUUGGUAAGUCAGAUGUAAAAGCCCUGGGCUCAACCUGGGAACGGCAUUUGAUACUGUCGGACUCGAGUUCGGUAGAGGGUAGUAGAACUCCCGGUGUAGCGGUGAAAUGCGUAGAUAUCGGGAGGAAUACCAGUGGCGAAGGCGGCUACCUGGACUGAAACUGACACUGAGGCACGAAAGCGUGGGGAGCAAACAGGAUUAGAAACCCG
rnacentral:rRNA from 1 species